GACGAACGCUGGCGGCGUGCCUAAUACAUGCAAGUCGAACGCACAGUUUAUACCGUUGCUUGCUACACCAUAAACUGUGAGUUGCGAACGGGGGAGUAACGCGUAGGUAACCUGCCUGGUAGCGGGGGAUAACUAUUGGAAACGAUAGCUAAUACCGCAUGAUAUUGAUUAUUGCAUGAUAAUUGAUGGAAAGAUGCUAUUGCAUCACUACCAGAUGGACUUGCGUUGUAUUAGCUAGUAGGUGAGGUAACGGCUCACCUAGGCGACGAUACAUAGCCGACCGGAGAGGGUGGGCGGCCACACUGGGACGGAGACACGGCCCAGACGGACACGGGAGGCGGCCGGAGGGCAUCUUGGGGAAUGGACGAGAGACUGAGCGAGAUACGCGGAGUGAGUGAAGAAGGUUGUCGGAUCGUGAAGCUCUGUUGUAGGGUUAGAACGGGUGUGAGCCUGGAAAGUUCACAGUGUGACGGUAUCUUACCAGAAAGGGACGGCUAACUACGUG
rnacentral:rRNA from 1 species